UAGGGAAUCUUCCACAAUGGACGCAGUCUGAUGAGCAACGCCGCGUGAGUGAAGAAGGUCUUCGGAUCGUAAACUCUGUUGUUAGAGAAGAACACGAGUGAGAGUAACUGUUCAUUCGAUGACGGUAUCUAACCAGCAAGUCACGGCUAACUACGUGCCAG
rnacentral:rRNA from 1 species